UGGAUUUAUGGGGCAGCUGGGAGAAAGAGAGAAUCUCAGAGAAGCCAAGCCCAGUGCCAGCUCCCUGGCAGAGAGUGCUGGAGACUGAGCUGUGAGCUUCACACGUGCUAGACAUGUGCUCAACCACUGAAUCGUGUUCCCUGCCAGGACCUUUGCAAAGAAAUGGGUUGUGAAACUGAACUCCCACCAACAUGUGAUUAACAGCUUUCUGAAUGGUACUGGCCUCCCUGGUUUUGUGCACUCAUUCAUAAAGCAAUUUAAAGGCCCACUCUUAGGGAUGUUUCAGGAAUGGCAGGUCUAGGGGAAGAUGCUGUGUCUUCGAAAGGGCUGGUACCUUUGGAGACAUCUUGACAUCCACCCGUCAGAUGAUUAAUUCCAGAAGGAAGAUAUGGAGGUUGACCACAGGCAAAGUGAAGUGAGGCCUGAAUGUGUGUGGCCUUGACUACUUUAUGUCUGGAGCCUGAUCACAGCCAUUUUGUGUCCCCAGAAGCCUGAGAAAUUGUUAAGGACACAAGUUUUUUUUCUGGUACUGCUCAUCCUUUUAUUUCUUCUUUGUUUUCCAUCAACUUGGCUGAGCCUGAAUGUGUCUUCUCACGGUACCACACUUCCAGUCAUGGAUUCCACACAGAGCUUCUCUCUCCUGUUGCAGUCUCCUGUGGCCUUGGCUCCCAUGACUUCUCCCCACGCCCAGGUUCACAUGGCCCAGUCUGCAGAAGAGGUGGCAAAACCAGGCUCCUUCCUACCAUGUGAUUUAGUCCCACACUGGGAACCAUGGAUUACAAAUCAAUACUUAGCUCCUAAUAGGGAAAAAGAAGGAGUAUUCCAUCGUUUGGGCUGGAUUCCAGCUAGGUCGAAGAAAUUCCACAUCAGUACUUACAUGAGCAUCCACUCAGUGCUAACCAUUGUAAUUACAUUACCUGCAGCUUGCUUGAUUAUUUAAUUUGGCCUGUUGAGUAAUUAAUUACUAUUUUAUCAGCACUGUCGUUCUGCGGACAAGCAUAAUCACAGAGGGUCUGUGUUGUACUGAAACACGCCUGUUCCUCUCGAUCUGAUGUAACUUAAUGUCUGGAGAUGCUGUUCCCACAGGCAUGUUGGGUCCUCUUUCUAGACAGUUGUGGCCUGAGUACUUGCUGGGAGCUGUCAGGAAUGAUGAAGACAUGAAUAGUUUUGGGACCAUCACCACUAGUGUCUCUGAAAAUAGAGACAGGAGUGCUUCCAACAGUGAAUAGCACAGUCGGAGUCUCCAGUGGUCAAAGCUACACAAAGUGGUGAAAAAGCUGUAUUUAAAAAUUUUCGCAGGCUACUAUUACUUGGAAGGAAGGGCUGACAGAAUAGAAUACUGUUCUACUGAAGACAUGGAUGCAGAUUUGGAGAACAUGCUUACAAUGUGUGUAUCCUACAGGACUGUUAUCCACAGUAUACAAAGAGCUCUUAAAACUCAACAAUUAUCAAGGAGAUAACCUAGUUAUAAAAAUGUCCCAAAGGCCUUAACAGACAUCUCAUCAAAGACAAAAGCAAACAUAUAUAUGAAAAGAUGUCCGGCAUUGUGUGUCAUUGGGAUGGUGCAAAUCAAAACACCGAGAUACAGUGCUACAGCCCCUAGAGUGGCUAAGAUCCCCAAUACUGACAAGACUGAAUGCUGGUGAGGGUGAGUAACUACAGGAACCCUCAUUCAUUGCUAAGGAGAGAAAAGAUGGCAUGGUCUCUGUGGGAGACACUUUGAUAAUAUCUUACAAAAGUGAAAUAAUCACCACACAACUUUUUAGUUAUGCCCAUAUUUACUUACCCAAAGAAGUUAACAAACUCAUGUACACACAAGAACCUCCUCAAGUUUGUUAAUAACAGUAUUAUUUAUUCAUAAUGAAAAUUAGAAGCAAGCAGGUUAUGUUUUAGUAGUUAGGUGCAUAACUAAACUUUUGUCUAUCUAGACAAUGGAAUAUGUUCAGUGCUAGAAAGUAAACAGCUGUAAGUGGUGAGAAAACAUAAGAAAUUUAGAUGGAGCCAAUCUAAAAAGUCUGUGUAAUGUAUCUAACAAUAUGACCUUCUGGGAAAGGUAACACCAAACAGUUAAUUAAAAAAACCAUUAAUUGCUGGAGAUAGAGGGGAGGGAAGCACUGAACAGGCAGAUCACAGGGGGUUUGAGUGACAGAACUCUCUACUCAGUUCACAUUACACAUUUGUUCAAGCCCAUAGGAUGUACAUGCCUUGAUCUCAGUUAUGGAUGCAUGGAUGCUUCAGUUGGGUUCAUCAGUGGUAGUACUACUAUGGUGCAGGAUGCUGACAAUGGUAGAGACCACCUAUGUGAGCACAGGAGAAGCAUAGGAACUUUUUGUACCUUAUUCACUUUGUAGGUGAAGCUAAAAUUACUCUAAAAGUGAAAAACACCAAGUUAAUGGGCACAUAACUGAAUAAAAGCACAACAGCCACUUCAA